rnacentral:rRNA from 1 species
ACUCAAAGGAAUUGACGGGGGCCCGCACAAGCGGUGGAGCAUGUGGUUUAAUUCGACGCAACGCGAAGAACCUUACCCAGGCUCGAAAUGCGAGUGACAGGCGGCGAAAGUCGCUUUCCGCAAGGACACUCGUAUAGGUGCUGCAUGGCUGUCGUCAGCUCGUGUCGUGAGAUGUUGGGUUAAGUCCCGCAACGAGCGCAACCCUUAUCUGCUGUUGCCAUCAGGUUAUGCUGGGCACUCUGCGGAGACUGCCGGUGAUAAACCGGAGGAAGGUGGGGAUGACGUCAAGUCAGCAUGGCCUUUAUGUCUGGGGCUACACACGUGCUACAAUGGCCGGUACAAAGCGUCGCGAUCCCGCGAGGGGGAGCUAAUCGCAGAAAGCCGGUCUCAGUUCGGAUUGUAGGCUGCAACUCGCCUGCAUGAAGUUGGAAUCGCUAGUAAUCGCAGAUCAGCAGGCUGCGGUGAAUACGUUCCCGGGCCUUGUACACACCGCCCGU